rnacentral:rRNA from 1 species
ACGGCUCAGUAACACGUGGAUAACCUGCCCAAAAGUCCGGGAUAACCCCGGGAAACUGGGGAUAAUACCGGAUGGGCCACUUCUGCUGGAAGGCUUGGUGGUCGAAAGGCAACGCUUUUGGAUGGGUCUGCGGCGGAUUAGGUUGACGCCGGUGUAACGUACCGGCGUGCCUGUAAUCCGUACGGGUUGUGGGAGCAAGAGCCCGGAGAUGGAUUCUGAGACACGAAUCCAGGCCCUACGGGGCGCAGCAGGCGCGAAAACUCUACAAUGCAGGCAACUGCGAUAGGGGGACAUCGAGUGGCACCCACCUUGGGUGCCUGUCCCACCGUCUAAAAAACGGUGGUCAGCAAGGGCCGGGCAAGACCGGUGCCAGCCGCCGCGGUAAUACCGGCGGCUCGAGUGGUGGCCGAUAUUAUUGAGUCUAAAGGGUCCGUAGCCGGCUUUGCAAGUCCCCUGGGAAAUCCAGCGGCUCAACCGUUGGGCUUCCAUGGGAUACUACAUUGCUUGGGACUGGGAGAGGUAGGAGGUACUCGGGGGGUAGGGGUGAAAUCCUGUAAUCCUCCGGGGACCACCGGUGGCGAAGGCGUCCUACCAGAACAGGUCCGACGGUGAGGGACGAAAGCUAGGGGCACGAACCGGAUUAGAUACCCGGGUAGUCCUAGCCGUAAACGAUGCCCGCUAGGUGUCACGGCGGUCGUGAAUCGCCGUGGUGCCGUAGGGAAGCCGCGAAGCGGGCCACUUGGGAAGUACGGCCGCAAGGCUGAAACUUAAAGGAAUUGGCGGGGGAGCAC